GAUGAACGCUGGCGGCGUGCUUAACACAUGCAAGUCGAACGAUGAAGCCCAGCUUGCUGGGUGGAUUAGUGGCGAACGGGUGAGUAACACGUGAGUAACCUGCCCUUGACUCUGGGAUAAGCCCGGGAAACUGGGUCUAAUACCGGAUAGGAGCGCCUGUCGCAUGACGGGUGUUGGAAAGAUUUUUCGGUCAUGGAUGGACUCGCGGCCUAUCAGCUUGUUGGUGAGGUAAUGGCUCACCAAGGCGACGACGGGUAGCCGGCCUGAGAGGGCGACCGGCCACACUGGGACUGAGACACGGCCCAGACUCCUACGGGAGGCAGCAGUGGGGAAUAUUGCACAAUGGGCGGAAGCCUGAUGCAGCGACGCCGCGUGAGGGAUGACGGCCUUCGGGUGGUAAACCUUCUUUCAGUAUUU
rnacentral:rRNA from 1 species